rnacentral:rRNA from 1 species
ACAUGGAUUGCCCUAGUAACGGCGAGUGAAGCGGCAACAGCUCAAAUUUGAAAUCUGGCUCUUUCAGAGUCCGAGUUGUAAUUUGCAGAGGGCGCUUUGGCUUUGGCAGCGGUCCAAGUUCCUUGGAACAGGACGUCACAGAGGGUGAGAAUCCCGUACGUGGUCGCUAGCUAUUGCCGUGUAAAGCCCCUUCGACGAGUCGAGUUGUUUGGGAAUGCAGCUCUAAAUGGGAGGUAAAUUUCUUCUAAAGCUAAAUAUUGGCCAGAGACCGAUAGCGCACAAGUAGAGUGAUCGAAAGAUGAAAAGCACUUUGGAAAGAGAGUCAAACAGCACGUGAAAUUGUUGAAAGGGAAGCGCUUGCAGCCAGACUUGCUUGCAGUUGCUCAUCCGGGCUUUUGCCCGGUGCACUCUUCUGCAGGCAGGCCAGCAUCAGUUUGGGCGGUGGGAUAAAGGUCUCUGUCACGUACCUUCCUUCGGGUUGGCCUUAUAGGGGAGACGCCAUACCACCAGCCUGGACUGAGGUCCGCGCAUCUGCUAGGAUGCUGGCGUAAUGGCUGUAAGCGGCCCGUCUUGAAACACGGACCAAGGAGUCUAACAUCUAUGCGAGUGUUUGGGUGUCAAGCCCGAGCGCGUAAUGAAAGUGAACGGAGGUGGGAACCCGCAAGGGUGCACCAUCGACCGAUCCUGAAGUUUACGGAAGGAUUUGAGUAAGAGCAUGGCUGUUGGGACCCGAAAGAUGGUGAACUAUGCUUGAAUAGGGUGAAGCCAGAGGAAACUCUGGUGGAGGCUCGCAGCGGUUCUGACGUGCAAAUCGAUCGUCAAAUUUGGGCAUAGGGGCGAAAGACUAAUC